AUUGAACGCUGGCGGCACGCCUAACACAUGCAAGUCGAGCGGUAGCAUGAUUAGUAGCAAUACUAAUUGAUGACGAGCGGCGGACGGGUGAGUAAUACGCAGGAACCUGCCCUCAAGCGGGGGAUAACUAAGGGAAACUUUAGCUAAUACCGCAUAAUCUCGAGAGAGUAAAGCUGCAGCAAUGUGGCACUUGAGGAGGGGCCUGCGUCAGAUUAGCUAGUUGGUGAGGUAAUAGCUCACCAAGGCGAUGAUCUGUAACUGGUCUGAGAGGACGACCAGUCACACUGGGACUGAGACACGGCCCAGACUCCUACGGGAGGCAGCAGUGGGGAAUAUUGGACAAUGGGGGCAACCCUGAUCCAGCGAUGCCGCGUGGGUGAAGAAGGCCUUCGGGUUGUAAAGCCCUUUAGGUUGGGAAGAAGGUUAGUGGAGGAAAUGCCAUUAAUUUGACGGUACCAACAGAAUAAGCACCGGCAAACUCUGUGCCAGCCGCCGCCGUAA
rnacentral:rRNA from 1 species